rnacentral:rRNA from 1 species
ACGGGGUGCAGCAGGCGCGAAAACUGACCAAUGCGCGAAAGCGUGAGUCGGUCAAUCCGAGUGUAGACCCAUCGGUUUACUUUUGUCAUGUGUACAACGCUUGGCGAAUAAUGUGAGGGCAAGACUGGUGCCAGCCGCCGCGGUAAAACCAGCUCAUAGAGUGGUGAUCAUGAUUAUUUGGCUUAAAGUGUGCGUAGCAGGGAAUUCUAAGUCCUCUGUGAAAUGUCAGGUCUUAAGCUUGACACGUGCAGAGGAUACUGGAAUCCUUGGGACUGGGAUAGGUGUAAUGUACGGUUUGGGUAGGGGUGAAAUCCGAUAAUCCAAGCCGGACAACCGGUGGCGAAGGCGUUACACUGGAACAGGUCCGACUGUGAGGCACGAAAGCUAGGGUCGCGAGCCGGAUUAGAUACCCGGGUAGUCCUAUGCUGUAAACGAUGCUCACUAAGUGUUAGGUAAUGCAAGACAUUCUCUAGUGCCGAAGCGAAAGCGUUAAGUGAGCCGCCUGGAAGUACGUUCGCAAGA